CUGACCUCAGGUGAUCUGCCCACCUUGGCCUCCCAAAGUGCUGGGAUUACAGGUGUGAGCCACUGCGCCCAGCCACUAAAUCUCUUCUAACCCCUAAAUCCAAAAUUCUAAUAUGACCUUCAAAGCUCUGUGUGAUCUGAUGAACUUCUGAUGUGAUACUGAAGUCCCCACUUAAAGUUUAAAAAGCUCUUCAGUCUGUUCCCACCUACCUCUCCAGCUUCAUUUCAACCUAUUCUCCCUCUUAUUCACCGUACUCUUAAUUUUCUUUUAGUUUCUAGAAAAUUCAAGACACUUCAGGGUCUUCCUAGAUGUCCUCUUUGACCUAAUGUUCCAUUACAGGUUCUUAUUACGUGUUAUGUAAACUCCAUCUCCUUGUCAUACCUCAGCCAACAUUAUUAUAUUGUGCAGUCACUCAGACUGAGAACAACAUAGCACUUCUUCAAAACUGUAAUUACUUGUUUGAAAUUAAUUAAUUUCAGGAACUUAUCAAUCAUCAUCAUCAUGCCAGCAUCUGGCACACUGUUUUCAAUGCCUAUUUGUUGAGUAGGUGAGUGACAAAUCUAGAUAACCUCUUAUUUAAGGUCUAGUUUACUUUUUAAAACUAAUGCUCCAUUUUUUAAACUAGAAAUUUGAUUAAUGGAUUUAUAUCUUCAAAAACCCAGAUUCCUUUCCUCCAGUUUUGUAGAUCAUGUGGAUGUCUGAGAUCGUGGCUAGAGUACAAAGUUAAAUUCCUGAAUUCAUUGUGUUUAGUGUUAUUAAGAGUUCUGUAAAGGGCAUCUAUAAAGGCAUACAUGAAAAGGAAGAAAUGUCACAACAGUGCCACCUGAAAAGAUUUGUGGUACUGGAGGGGCAUGUUUUUAUACUUAGUAUAGAAUUAAGCCAUUUAGAUAUCUGUGUUCUGUAUCACCUAAAAUACUAAGUUAAAAGAUGCUGAAAUAGCCUGCCUCCUUCUGGUGUAUUAGCGCUUCCCUUUCCUCUCAUUUCCUAUGGUUUUUCCUGCCCCCACAAAAAGUUUUUUCCUUUGUGAUUAGUUUUAUAUACAUUUAUAUACACAUAUAUAUACACAUACAUACACACACGUGUAAUAUUAAAUAGCUGAAGUCCUGCUCACAUCCCAAGUCUCCAAUUUUAUUGGUGUAUUUAAUUAGUUGAAAUAGUUUUAUGAUUAAAGUAGUGAUAGCUAGAAUAUGUACACUAAAAUCAGUGGAAAUGUUUGCUUGAUCCAGUAGGUCAACUUAAAUUUAGAAUUUUUUAACAUUAAAAGCUUGAGAAAUUGGCAUAUUCUGAAAGAGAUCUAAGAAAUUUGAUAGGGAUUUUAGUUAGCCAAAAUUACUAAAACUUAGAAAUGAUAGUUUACUUGAAGUCAUUCCAGAAGUAGUUUUGCCAUCAACUGAGCUUAUUGGCUUGUUGUUACUAUAAUGCUAUCAUCUGCCCCAGUUAUUCUUAAACAUUUAUUCUGCAAGCAUUUACUAUCCACAGCAUGGUGUUUGAUGCUUAGAAAAGUUGAAGGGUAUGGCAUAGUUUAGAACAUUCUUAUAACUUGGAGUGAAAAUGUGAAUGUGAGAAACAUAGUUAAAAACGUAUGAAGCAGUAUUACAGAAUCAAAUGAUGUAUGUAAUCAUCUUAAUUACUUUAAGAAUGAUGUAUGUAAAACAUUCUUAAAGUAAUUAUUGAACAAAUUCAAGGCAUCUACCAAAGUUGUAAAUGUAUUCUACACACUUAUUGAGAACUAUAUAAUGUAGAAGAUGUUGCAGGAACAAUACAGAUGAGUAGGAUUCCAUCCUGUCCUCAAUACAAAAAAUAAUAAAAUAAUAAGUUAGAGGAAUAAAGAACUUAUUGUAAGAACUUAGCAGGGAGUUUCCAGAGAAGGUUUCACGUAAGAGGUGGCAUUUGUGCUUUGACUGCAAGUACGUUUACAACUGGGCCCACAAAGCCUGAGUCUAAGAAAAGCACAAAGAGCAUGUAGGGAACACAGCAGUUGAAUUUGAAUGAAAUGCUGUAGGUUAAGAGGACCUAUAGGGAAUGAUUAGAAAAAUAGGUUGAGCUAGCUGAUAGAGGACUGAAAAAUAUUCUGAAAGUAUGAAGCUUUUGAGCAAAGGUAGUAAUAGUCCAACAUAAGAUGGGGACAAUUACCUUGCAGGAUUGCUAUGAGGUUAGAUGAGAUAAUUUACCUAAAGUACUUAGCCUAUUGCCUACCACAUAGUAAAUACUUAAAUAGUAGCUGCCAUCAUUGACUUUACCAAAGACAGGGAGACCCGUCAGGAUAUUAGGUGGGCCAGAAAAGUGGUGUGAAGACCUGAUAUUUGGCAUAAUCAGGUAUCUAGUAAUGCUAGAGAUGAGACAACCUGUUGAAAUUGAGAAGGAUAAAGAAGGUAUUUUAAGGGAAAGCUUUAUUUUUGACUGCAUAAAAUUUAGAAAUAUUUAAACAGCAAAUAAUAUCAUGAACAAAGUGUUACCUCCCCUAAAUCUAUGAAUGUAGUGCUAAACUAAUAAAAAUACUAAUAGAUUUAGUUGGAGGGUAUUAUUCUUUUUUUGUUGGGUUUGGGUGGAAUUCUCUCUAUUAAACCUAAAUUUAUUGAGGUAAAUACUGUUACUCACAUUUCUUGUAACAGCUCGUAGCAUAUAUAAAUGACCUUUAUUGAUUUAUUUAUCUCCAUGAUCAUACAAAAUUCAAUUAUGGUUUACGUAAUAGUGAACUAUUUAAUUCAGCCUAAAUACAGUACUUAAAUGGACCUGAUUCUGAGAGUCUCAUGGAAUGGUCUAAUAGUCAAGAAUUGUAUUAAAACCAUCUAGAUUUGUAAAACACCAUCUUAGGAAUUGUAAUUCUUUCGAACUUGAAUUUAAGUAAAUGUAGCAUCAACUAAGAAAAAACAAUAAAAAGAGAUUAAAUUAUUAAGUAAAGAAAACACGGUCAUGUGUCCUCCAGUAUAUAGUUAGGAGUUGGUUGCUGUAAACCUGAAUCAAACCUACUGACCCAAAUGUGUAAGCCCUUACAGUUUUAACCUCUCCCUUCCUUGCAGACAUGAUGCAUGGGAUCGCCUGCACAUGGAACAGCAGGAACCACUUGGGAAAACCUGAAAUUUAAACUGCUUUAGUCAACUUUAUCUGUUGUGAUCAUUUUCUUUUCUUAGCUCAGUGAGCUUUCUGUUAGUGUGCCAAGCUGCCAUCCAACUUUCUUGAACAUUUUUUCUCUUGGGAAAUGAUCAAGUUUUGAUAGUAGAAAGUGCUUCUUUCCAAGACUUUCUCGAGGCCAUCUUCCUGUGGGCGUCAUGCUUCUGAUGUUACACAGCUGAUGUUUUCAUAUGAGCUACAUUUUCAGACUACAAAGAUGCUUAUUCAGAUGAGAGACCAUUUCUUUGAACUAAUCAGCCCAAGUCUCUGUGUCCAUCACCUGGGAGACUGUCCGAGGAACUCUGUGAAGAAAGUCUUUUCCACAGAGAAAUGAGAGCACCCUCAAAGUCAUCAACACAGAAGACUUCUGUGACCAGAUGUGAGAAGUGUUUCUCUCCACCACCAAGCAAGCAAUCAAGUCUGCAGUGGACACCCAAUGAGUGGCCUCCAAUUCAACUCCAACACUAUCUACCUGGAGAUAGCAUCAGAUCCCACAGGUUGAGGGCUCUGUCCCCAAGGCUGGCCCCUACCACUGCCAGACACCAGCUGAUUAUAAAGGAUAUUACAGAUGAAGAGACGUAUAGGGUGAAGUAUGGAAAAAGGAGCAUGGACCCUCCAUGCCCUCCCUGGACCCACUGCCCUCCAGGAAUCUCCAGGUCUUCAGCUACCAGGAAGCUCCCCAAAUUUUGUCCUCCUGGGCAUUUUGUUUUGGUUUUGGUUUUGCUUUUUUUAGAGAGGGGGUCUUGCUAUGUUACCCAGGCUCGCCUUGAACAACUGCCUCAGUCACCCAAGCUCCCAAGUAGUUGGGAUUAUGGGUGCAUGCCAAGCACACAACUUAUCUUGGGCCUUUUAGGGAGACGUCACUGGAAAGGCAUGAUUGACCACCAUGUAGAAAUGUGAUUGGACCAAAAGGGUAGGAUCUCAUAGGAAUAGACUGAGUGGGGAAACUCAGCAAGGCCUGUCCAGAUUCUUUUUGGUCUAUCUGUGUAGCAUUCCUUCCUCCAGGGUAGGUGACAGGACCCUCUCUGGCAGAUGAAGGGAGGGCAGGAAAAGGUCAGAGAGAGAGAUUCUGUUUCCUGAGGCCUGCUUCAGAGACCUGUAGUGUCCCAAUAUUAUAACAAAAGACUGUAACAAGGGCUAUGGGAGUUACCCACCAGGAACUGUGGACGAAGACCAAUAUGUAUCUAUCAUAUGAUCACACUUACUCAUGUCAUUUCCUCUCUCAGAAGAACUUCUUUUAACAUUUCUUGCAAGGAACAUAAAGGGAUUUUCCUUCAGUCGUCACUCUGAGAACCUGGUAGAGCUCCAGAAGAGUGUGCCUAAUAAUAAGAGCAAACCCCUGCCACAUGCCAGAUGCAGUUCUAAACACUUUAUACAGAUGGACUCAUUUAAUCUUCAAAACAACGCUGAGAGGUCUCCAAAGGCCCUGUCUUGUGGAUCUGCGUCUCCAGUUAACUGUCCACUUCUUAAUGAGAAAGGAAUCUGCUGUUAGUGCCAUCUCUAAAAGAAGACAAAUAGGUCUUUAAUUAAUAUUGACACACAUGGCUCCUGCCUUCUCCUUGUUAAAGGCAUUGUCAACGGAUCACGGGUCUUUCUCAUUCCCUGAACUUCGCCUCGGAGCUUCUCUCAGCAAAAGAUGUUGCCCACUUGCCAUUUCUAGGCCAGGAGGAAGAGACUGGAAGUCUGGAGAGUCUUUCUUGUUUUGUCUCAAGGUAAGACAGCAUGACUUUCAGAUUAGUUAUUAAAUUCCCCAGAGCCUGUGUUUACUCAUCUGAAACUACGGAUCAUAACUUCACCUAAUUAUCCUCUAUGGUUCUUGGGAGGUUUAAAUGUUAUGAGGGGUAGGGAAGUGCUUCGAAAGGUUAAAAGAACAAGACACUCCCGAGAGAGUAGCAAGAGCUCCCAUAAUUCACAGAAAUUAAAGUGUCUUUGAAAGGAGAGUAUUCCAUUAAGUACUGUUUAGAACAGAGAAGAUCCCAUUUCAAAAGGACUUCCUGCUAAAUAAUUAGAAAAAGGAAAAGAAAAGAGGAAGCAAAUGGAAAAGGAACACAGAGAGAGGACGUGACUUGGAGUCAGAGGCAUUAGAGUCAAGUCUAAAUUCACCUCUUGCUAACUAUGAUGUUUGGAAUAGGGUACUAAGCCACCAUGCGUUACAUGGAGUGUACAAUAGUCACCUCUCAAGGUAAUUGGAAGUAUGAAAUGAGUUCAUGUCUGCGAGAGGGACUAGUGCAGAGCCAGGCAUAUAGGGACUUGGUGAACUCCCAGCCUCAGUGAGGGAAAGGAACCACUGCUUGAAGCCUGCCUGGUCCCACACAGUAUAGAGAAUUAGGUUUUGCUAUGUUCCCAUCCAUCCAUCAUCCAUCCAUUCUUCCAACUUCUAUGGAGCAUGACUACUUGAUGUUGAACUGGGAGGGUGUGUGCAUUGUUGUUGAACAUUUCCCUGACCUCAGAACCACCAUGAGGGAAAAGAGAGCCAUGCAUGAUGUGAUUUGAGCAGUACCCCAGGAUCCCACUUGCCCCACAAUUUUACCUUCUUUAAGCUUUUGAGUCUCUCUUUGGAGAACUUCUCUUUACCACUCUGACUCUUGUGCUCCUGAGGAGGAGGUGGGCCUCCCUGGGCAAUUAAGGGCAGCUAUGGGCUAGAAGAAUGCAUGCUACCAAGUGGAGGUGUGCAGGGCACCGUGUGCAGCACAGAGGCUGGGGAGGGAUGAUAGGAACCCCUGUCUUUGAGGAAGUUAUUACAGUGAGCCAGGAGUUCUGGAAUAUUUUGUCUCAUGCAGUGCUUUAACCUGUCCCUCUCUUUGGCACUUCUCAGCACUGGGACUAGUAAUAUAAUCAUAUUUUUGCAAAGACAUGCCUUCAUCUCUCAUCAUUUUUACUUCCCCAAUCUGGGUUCCGGGCAUUGACUCAGAGCCCUUCAAUCCAUACUCUUUCUUGCCUCCAGAAAGCUCUUGCCUACUAUUCUGUGGCCACCCUCACUGCCCUACUUGUUCCCCUGAUGAGUGAAUGCUCCUAUGAGAGCACUAACCCUCCUUCAGUGAGGUCUUUCAACCACUUGCCUUUCUUCUGCUCUGGUCUGUAAGUUAUGCCAGAGCAAAGAUUUGUCUUGGGACCUGCCAUAUCCUGAGCACCUAAAAAAGUCUGGAAUAUAGGAGGUGCUCAAAUAUGUGUCAGUUGACUAUCAGCUCUUCUUUCUGGAUGGUGAGCCCUUAGAUAAUGGGGUCAACAUCUUCUAAUAUUUUCAAGCCUCUACUAGACACCUCACAGAACAUAGCUUAUUGCUAGGUUCUUAGUAAACGCUUGAUGAACAAAAGAAUGAGUGAAUUCAUGUCUUAUAAAAUGGGCAGAUCCCUAGGGAUCCCAUUCAAGGCUACAGAUAAUGUGGGAUGAUGUGCUGAAUAUUUUCUAGAGCCCCUGCAGAUCCAUUGUCCACCCUUGCUUACCCUGUUUGGUACUCAGGAAGUUGACCUUUAUAAGAUGGUAUUGACAGGUUAUUUUGACCUCUGCUUGGGUUCAGUCAAUGGGAUGUACCAAUAGAUUAUAAGUAGGGAGAAGAGUGAAGUCUAGGUAUAGUAGAUCCUCAUCAUUUGCAGAUUCUAUAUUUGCAAAUUUGUCUACUCACUAAAAUCUAUUUGUAAUCCCCAAAUCAAUUUUCAUGGCACUUUCAUGGUCAUUCAGACACGCGCAGAGUGGUAAAAAUUUUGAGUCACUGGUUGUGCACAUCCCCAGCCGAGGCAAACAAGGUGACAUAGACUCUGCCUUCUUGUUUCAGCUCUCAUAUUGAAAAAA